AGGCACUUAUGUGACGUACUGAAGAAUUUAGACUGUAAACUGGAGAGAUUGAGUCUAAAUGACUGUGGCAUUACAGAUGUUGCUUUUUUGGCUCAGACUUUGGCUAAGACGAAAGCUUUGCAUUUUUUAAAAGAGCUUGAUCUGAAAAAGAAUAAAAUAGGAAACUCAAGGAAGCUCCUCAGUAAAGCGCUUAAAGACUCCAACUGUAACCUGAGCCUAGACAGUGAACAACGCCUUUUCAAAGCUGGUCUAAACAUGCUGGUGGAUGGUUUUACAUUGUGAAAUCAACAGGACUAGACCAGACACCAUUGUAUAAGGCAUCACAAAAAUGAAAAUAAGUAUUUCUAUAGAAUUAUUUAGAAUGGGAACCUAAAUAUAAACUAUUCAAAACCAACAGCUAAACCUACAGCAUUUAACAAAUGUAAAAUUAAUUGUUGUAGCUUUAAUGUGUUGCUAUUUACAUAAUUCCUAAUGCAUAAAGGUGGAACAAAUUACAGAUGAAAUAAAGCAGCGUUACAGAGCAAAGAGAAAUAGAGUAAAAGGGCUAACAUAUAUCUAAGGAAGAUAUAAAAUGAAAGAUUAUAGUAGGCAUCAUAAUUUUUUUGUUGUUGUUGAAAAAAGUUAAUGCUCCAUUUUUAUGGAAUAGUCUUCCAAUCCAAAUAACUGUCUCUGUUUUCAAUAUAGCUUAAAUACAUGUUUUAUUAAUUAGUUAAUUCUUGACAGCGUAUUGUUAUAUUGAGUGCUUUUGGAUUUUAAUUGUGUAUUUUUGUGCUUGUUUUAUUCAGCUGUAAAGAUCUACAUGUCUGUUUUAUUAAUGCCAGGGUGCCCAUGCUUCUUUUAAGUACUUGAAUUUCAGACAGAUGGAUUCAAGGACUGGUAAAUGGGGGUGGGGGGCAUAGGUCCUUCUACAUUUUGUUAGAGAAACAUGGUGCUACAGUAUUACAGAAACUGACUUUUACGCACCGCCAAAGACAGAAUGAAAGCACUACUUCAGGAAAAUCUGGAAAAGUAGCUUGAGUGGAUCGAAUGUAGCCUGCUGUAAACCACAAUAUUGCCUAUUAUACUACUGUACCAUUGAAUGAUUGAAUCUGAUUGGCUGAUGAACAUUCUAAGGUGUGCAAUUAUUUUCUGGGAAACGCACGGUGAACAUAGUUCCAGGCAGCUGUCCUGACCGCAUUACUGUUCCAUAUCACUUUUGCAAAGUAAAGCUGUAAUAACGGUCACGCAGUUUGCACAAAAAGGUAUUGUCAACGAGCGCUGCCCUGACGAUUUUAGCAGUUAGCCUAUAUAGUGUAGCAACUUAAAGGCCUUACAUGACAUUUCUCACUAGCGAGGAGACAGCACUGUUUAGAGAUGCAAAGAGGUAAGUUAGACUAAUUCACACAAGCUCUCUCAUUCUCUUUCUCUCUUUGUGUGUCUCUGUCUCUCUCGCUCUAUUUCUAAUAAUGUGAUUAAUAACUGCAUUAGAACGAUAUCAAGGGCUCACUCCUCUGUUACCAGCUUUAACAUUUCGUUUUGGAACUAGCAAAAGAGGCAUUGGAUGAGAUGCGGAAGAAAUAGUCCUACUCACAAUAGCGUUUUAAGUACAAAAUCCAGGCAAAUCCCAUAAAUCAUCUGAUCGAUGUCUUGAGGUGUGGUUACCGUAGUAUAAGCGGAAUAAUUGACUCCAGGCCAUUGAAUUAUUAGAAAAAUAACUCCGCUUCGCAUCGUGGCCACAUCACCACCUCGGUGUGCAUUAUUUUUCAAAUAAUUCAACGGGCCGCCAUCAGUUAUUCCUUACUUUUACAAUCAUCAACUCUUGGUGAUUUUAUGUUAGUGCUUGAUCAUACGUGAGUGCUGGGAGUCCCAGAUAUUGUUUUUAAGAGUAUGAAUAUGUUAUAGUAUGUUAAAGAGAAUUUAACAUACUAAAAAGAAUGAGAGAUGUUUUUUUUUUUAUUAAUACUUGUGUGUACAAUGAACAAAACAGCUGUGGACAACACCUCUGCAUUAUUAAGUGCAUUAUAUAACUGGAUCAGGAAGUAGAUCGUGAUUGUGUGCAUACAGCCCCUCUGAGAAGCAUGGUGCAGUUUAGCUUAGUGUCAGGGAAGAGCAUAUUCAGUGCUUGACUCAGGGCAAAUAUUGUUAUUUGGUGCAAAUCAGCUCCAUCUACGUUAGCGAUUGAAUUUGCAUUUUCAUUCAGCAUGUCUGCUAUUUUUGUGCGAUUUACAUAUGUACUGUAAAUGGUUUUCUCAUAUUUGGGAAAGAUGAUUCAACAGUAGGUUAAAGAACAGUACAAGACAGCCACCAUGUGAACAGAGCCCAACACAGGAAAUUCCAAUCCUCUUCAGCCAGAAAUGCUGUCAGUGUGGCACUCUGUCUAGUUUCAAAUAAAGAGACAGCUGUGGAGACAGCACAGAUGAGAUAUUCUCAACAGAAGGAACCCCUCCAGCAUUUCAGUGUAGGCAGUUUUACCCAGGAUAAAUGGGUCUGAAUACAAGUACAUCUCUUGGAAAUUUGUGAGGAGAGGAAAACAUGUUUACACCCUGAACUAAAAUAAAUUAUGUCAAACUGGUUGAGUAAAGAUCUAAGUGAAAUGAAUACAGAUCAGUUAUUUUCUGAAAACCUGUGAAAAGAUAUAUGAGUUGGCUAAUUUAUAACACUGUUAAAAUAGGCAUGCACAUUGAUUGGUAUCAGGGAAGUGGAUGUUAAACUUACAGUGUUGCAUUCUUUAGAAGUUACUUUGUAUUCUGCACGUUGAAGCUCAUUUCAUCGUUGUCAACAGCUGAGGAAAACUACACCAUAAACAUACAUCUCUUCAUUUUAUUCUGGUAAACCAUGUAAAAACAACCUAAAACUAAAAACCGGUGAACAAAAGCUCUACCAUUUUGAUGUACAAGUGCAAAUGUAAUAUAAACUGUCAUCUAGCUUUGUAAAUGGCUUCUGAUUCUCUUCUCUUCUCCUUGU